CCGAGCACUGUUCCAUUGAAGUGCUUCAACCGUUCUGCCUCAUUCUGCCUCUGAACUCACGGAUCUGCAAGCUACCUCAUGCAUUGACGUAUCAUUUGGUAUUCAGAGCAAGGUUCCAGCCGCUACUGCUGUGAGCUAAGUGUCUUCUUUCUUCAUUCCAUACUGUCAUCACACUUCNACAAUGUCUUGAUUCUGUGUUCAUCUUUGUUCCAGUCAUUUGAUUUUUGAUUUAGGUUCUGUUGAGUCUCUUUCUGUGCCAGCUACGUGUUGCUUGAGUCAGUUGCAUUUUCAUUCAGUUAAUCCUUGUUUUUCCUUGUUUGAGUUUUUUUUUUUAGUUUAAGCAUCUAAAUGUAUGUCUUGGUCAUGUCCAGUUAACGUUGCUUUUUCUGUCAUUCAAUCUGGUUUUUAAACCAAGUUUUAACUAGUGGUGUUGUAUUGGAUUUGGCUACACCGAGUAAGAGCAAUGACCUGUGAUAGGAGCUCAGGUGUUUAAACUGUGCCAUCCAUCUCAGAUCUGUGUUUCGGUGUUCCAAAUUNUAUUCCUGUUAAUUCUGUUUCAGCAGUGUUUGUUACUAUUGCAUUGGCCAAAUUUGAUUGUACGUUGCUGUUAGAUCCUAAAUAUAUGCUUAUUUGGAUCUGCACCAGUAUACCUAUUGUUUGAGCAUGAUUUUACUUUGCAUUUAAUUUGGUCAUACUGCUGGAAAGGCCAUUUGCAUUCUGUUACAGGCAGUAAACCGAUCUGCCAAGUGUUUGGAGUCAAAUUCUGCGUGUGGUUCUGGAUUGAGCAUUAGACCAUUGCCAAUCAUCUAAUUGAUACUUCUGCCAUUUUGAGCAAUUUUCUUUGAUUGUAUUGAGUUCAUUUCUGUUGUGUUUAAACUGAAAUACCAUUGUUUGCAAAAUUUGGCUAUCCUAGUUGCUUAAAUUAGCUUGCAUCAGAACUGCCAUACUCCAAUUUUGUUAUACUCUGAAUUUUGACUGAAAUUGUGUUCAAACAAGUUUGUUUUAAUCAUUCAAACAUGUUUGCAUUAGUCUAAGAUGAGUAGUUGCUGUUCUGUGCAAAAUGCCUAUAUGACUUGCCAAAUUUUUGGGUCAGUUUCUGGUAAACCCGUAGCAGUGCAGUAUUUUGUUUUCAAAGUUUAGAUUGAAUUUGGUGAUUGGUCAAUACUUGUGGAUGUAGUAAAAGCUUGGUUCUAUAAUNUACAUCUGAAAAAUAUUCAAAACUAUAUGGAAUUCACAGUAAAAAGCUUAAAGAACCAAUGCAUCCAGUUGUGAAAUCUGUCAAUUCUGAAAUCACCAAUUCUGCAUAAUUUUGGACUGCUCUCUUAGGCAUUAUUACANACANAUUGUGAUAUUGCCGAACAUUGCUAAUUUUGAUCCGAUUGCUAAGUUUUAAUCAUUGUUUUUGGUCCAAUCUACUCUAGAACUAUUCUUAGGAUCCUUUUGAAGUGCUACCGUGUUUGCUACCUGAUUAAUUGCUUGAUUUCAAUUUUGUUGGAAUUCUUGCACACAACCUGUUUGAUCAAAGGUCUGUGCUGUACUGGUUUUUGGGUGCAAUGAUAUGGCAGCAGUGAGGUAAUUUGCGAUUCUGAUAUGCUUGAUUGAUCAGGUGUGAUACAGCUCAGAUUGCUCACCACACUAGGAAGCAUAAAAGGAGGUUCAAUUGUUGAGAAAAANGUGAUUGAAGUUGGCUCUUGGAUCAGGAAAAUGCGUGAAAACANCAGCANUGUUGUUCAAUAAUACAGCAGCAGUUUCUGGAUGAUGCAGCAGCAGAUUUUCUGUUGAGUGCAGCAACAUUCUGUGCAGAGUGCAAUCACUUGCAGCUGUGAGAUUAGUGUGAAUCCAUCAAAUUCACUUUCUUUAAGAAAAGCCAAAGUUGCACACAUCAUUUCCUUUUCACUUCCGUGUUGUUUCAAGUCAUUUGUUUUGCAAAAAUACUUGUAAAUGGCCAUUAAGCAAGUGACUUGGAAGAAUUCACAAGUGUUCUUCCAUCACUUGUAAACCUUUUGCUCUUAAUUUCUCAUUAAAAUUGGUAGACGGUGAGUGUGUCUUGGAUCNAAAGUCCAAGCCUCACCUAAGAGACCUCACUUCUUUCAUUUUUUUCAAAGUUUUUGAAAAAAUCUUAAAGUUUAGUUUUUCUCUUCAUGAUUAAUUGUUUCUAGACUUUUGUUGAAUUUAGAGGUAAUUUUGAUUUAAGGAUUUUUAGUAAGUGAAAUCUUUUCAUCNUUACUUCAAGAAAACUUUUAAAUUCAUAAAAUGUUUGGAAGAUAUUCUUCUAGGAAUUUUAAUCUUGAUAAGCCACUUAAUUACAAAGACAUCAAGAGAGAACAUGAUAAAGCUAGAAGGAAGACUUGUUCAUUUUAUGAGUUUGAUAGGAUUGAGGAUAAUUUGUAUAAACAAGCUAGGGAAAAUAUUCCAUUCUUUGGUGAGGAUAUUGGUGCAUUAACAUACCUAGCUUGGGAAAGGGAAAUUGAGGACAUGCAUUUCUUCAUGAUUAGUAGAAGUAAAUAUGAAUCCUAUUAUUCUAGAGAUUGUGAA
rnacentral:lncRNA from 1 species